AACGCGAAGAACCUUACCAACCCUUGACAUCCUAGGACAACUCCAGAGAUGGAGCCUUCCUUCGGGACCUAGUGACAGGUGCUGCAUGGCUGUCGUCAGCUCGUGUCGUGAGAUGUUCGGUUAAGUCCGGCAACGAGCGCAACCCACAUCCUUAGUUGCCAGCAGUUCGGCUGGGCACUCUAGGGAAACUGCCCGUGAUAAGCGGGAGGAAGGUGUGGAUGACGUCAAGUCCUCAUGGCCCUUACGGGUUGGGCUACACACGUGCUACAAUGGCAGUGACAAUGGGUUAAUCCCCAAAAACUGUCUCAGUUCGGAUUGGGGUCUGCAACUCGACCCCAUGAAGUCGGAAUCGCUAGUAAUCGCGUAACAGCAUGACGCGGUGAAUACGUUCCCGGGUCUUGUACACACCG
rnacentral:rRNA from 1 species